AUGUACAAUAAUGUUGUGACAAGUGUUCGAACAAGUGAUGUCGACACCGAUGACUUCCCGAUUAAGAUAGGACUGCAUCAGGGGUCAGCUUUGAGCCCUUAUCUUUUUGCAUUGGUGAUGGAUGAGAUCACAAGGGGUAUACAAGGAGAUAUCCCAUGGUGUAUGCUCUUUUCGGAUGAUGUGGUGCUAGUUGACGAUAGUCGGACGGGGGUAAAUAGGAAGUUAGAGUUAUGGAGACAAACCUUGGAAUCGAAAGGGUUUAGGCUUAGUAGAACUAAAACCGAGUACAUGAUGUGUGGUUUCAGUACUACUAGGUGUGAGGAGGAGGAGGUUAGCCUUGAUGGCCAGGUGGUACCUCGGAAGGACACCUUUCGGUAUUUGGGGUCAUUGUUGCAGGAGGAUGGGGGUAUUGAUGAAGAUGUGAACUAUCGAAUCAAAGACGGAUGGAUGAAGUGGCGCCAAGCUUCUGGCAUUCUCUGUGACAAAAGAGUGCCACAAAAGCUAAAAGGCAAGUUCUACAUGACGGCGGUUCGACCCGCAAUGUUGUAUGGCGCGGAGUGUUGGCCGACUAAAAGGUGA
rnacentral:rRNA from 1 species